AGGGGGCACCCUGAUGGAGCAACACCGCGUGCUGGAUGAAGGCCUUCGGGUCGUAAACAGCUUUUGUAUACGAAGAAUAUGACGGUAAUAUACGAAUAAGGGUCGGCUAACUACGUGCCAGCAGCCGCGGUAAUA
rnacentral:rRNA from 1 species